rnacentral:rRNA from 1 species
GAUGAACGCUGGCGGCGUGCUUAACACAUGCAAGUCGAACGGAAAGGCCAUGCUAUUGUGGGGUGCGCGAGUGGCGAACGGGUGAGUAACACGGGAGUAACCUGCCCUCGACUUUGGGACAACUUCAGGAAACUGGGGCUAAUACAGGAUAGGAGCUCCUGCUGCCUGGAGGGGGUUGGAAAGUUUUGGCGGAUGGGGAUGGGCUUGCGGGUUAUCAGCUUGUUGGUGGGGUUGUGGCUUACCAAGGCUUCGACGGGUACGCGGCCUGAGAGGGUGACCGGCCACAUUGGGACUGAGAUACGGGCCGGAGUCCUACGGGAGGCAGCAGUGGGGAAUAUUGCACGAUGGGCCGAAGCCUGGUGCAGCAACGCCGCGUGCGGGAUGGCGACCUUCUGGUUUUAAGCCGUAUUCGGCUGUGACGAAGCGUGUUUGACGGUACUGGAUAAAGAAGCACCGGCUAACUACGUG